rnacentral:rRNA from 1 species
UACGGAGGAUCCAAGCGUUAUCCGGAUUCAUUGGGUUUAAAGGGUGCGUAGGCGGAAUAGUAAGUCAGUGGUGAAAGCCUGUUGCUUAACAACAGAACUGCCAUUGAUACUGCUAAUCUUGAGUACAUUUGAAGUGGGCGGAAUGUGUCAUGUAGCGGUGAAAUGCUUAGAUAUGACACAGAACACCGAUUGCGAAGGCAGCUCACUAAACUGUAACUGACGCUGAGGCACGAAAGCGUGGGGAUCAAACAGG